rnacentral:rRNA from 1 species
CGUAUCACCCAAGACAACUUUACGGAGUUGACGAUUGACGGAGCGAAGCGACGUCAAAGCGUUCAUUAAAGUCGAGUUGGCUUAGGGAUACGUUCGUUGGGUAGGGGAGCGUUCUGUAAGCCUGUGAAGGUGUGUCGUGAGGCAUGCUGGAGGUAUCAGAAGUGCGAAUGCUGACAUAAGUAACGAUAAAGCGGGUGAAAAGCCCGCUCGCCGGAAGACCAAGGGUUCCUGUCCAACGUUAAUCGGGGCAGGGUGAGUCGACCCCUAAGGCGAGGCCGAAAGGCGUAGUCGAUGGGAAACGGGUUAAUAUUCCCGUACUUGGUGUUACUGCGAAGGGGGGACGGAGAAGGCUAUGUUGGCCGGGCGACGGUUGUCCCGGUUUAAGCGUGUAGGUGUGUGUUCCAGGUAAAUCCGGUUCACUUUAACACUGAGGCGUGAUGACGAGGCACUACGGUGCUGAAGCAACAAAUGCCCUGCUUCCAGGAAAAGCCUCUAAGCAUCAGGUAACAUCAAAUCGU